CGGGAUGUAGCGCAGCCUGGUAGCGUACUCGUCUGGGGGGCGAGGGGUCGCAAGUUCAAAUCUUGUCAUCCCGA
rnacentral:tRNA from 1 species